rnacentral:rRNA from 1 species
CCUACGGGGGGCUGCAGUGAGGAAUAUUGGUCAAUGGACGAGAGUCUGAACCAGCCAAGUAGCGUGAAGGAUGACUGCCCUAUGGGUUGUAAACUUCUUUUAUAUGGGAAUAAAAUGUUCCACGUGUGGGAUUUUGUAUGUACCAUAUGAAUAAGGAUCGGCUAACUCCGUGCCAGCAGCCGCGGUAAUACGGAGGAUCCGAGAGUUAUCCGGAUUUAUUGGGUUUAAAGGGAGCGUAGGUGGAUUGUUAAGUCAGUUGUGAAAGUUUGCGGCUCAACCGUAAAAUUGCAGUUGAAACUGGCAGUCUUGAGUACAGUAGAGGUGGGCGGAAUUCGUGGUGUAGCGGUGAAAUGCUUAGAUAUCACGAAGAACUCCGAUUGCGAAGGCAGUUCACUGGACUGCAACUGACACUGAGGCUCGAAAGUGUGGGUAUCAAACAGGAUUAGAUACCCGAGUAGUC